GACGAACGCUGGCGGCGUGCCUUACACAUGCAAGUCGAACGGAGUGGCGAACGGGUGAGUAAUGUAUCGGAACGUGCCCAGUAGCGGGGGAUAACUACGCGAAAGCGUAGAUAAUACCGCAUACUAUUGGAGCGGCCGAUAUCGGAUUAGCUAGUUGGUGGGGUAACGGCUCACCAAGGCGACGAUCCGUAGCUGGUUUGAGAGGACGACCAGCCACACGUGGACUGAGACGCGGCCCAGGCGCCUACGGGAGGCAGAAGUGGGGAAUUUUGGACAAUGGGGGAAACCCUGAUCCAGCCAUCCCGCGUGUACGAUGAAGGCCUUCGGGUUGUAAAGCACUUUUGGCAGGAAAGCGGUACCUGCAGAAUAAGCACCGGCUAACUACGUGCCAGCAGCCGCGGUAAUAC
rnacentral:rRNA from 1 species